AACGAACGCUGGCGGCGUGUUUAAGACAUGCAAGUCGCACGGGAUAAGACAUGUAGUAAUACUUGCUUUAUUUAGUGGCGCACGGGUGAGUAACACGUGAAUUACAUGGCCUAUAGUGGGGAAUAGCCCAGGGAAACUUGGAUUAAUACCCCAUGGUAUCGAAAGAGUAAAGGUGGCAGCAAGGCCGUCGCUAUAGGAUUGGUUCGCGUCCUAUCAGCUUGUUGGGGAGGUAACGGCUCACCAAGGCAAUGGCGGGUAUCUGGUCUGAGAGGACGAUCAGGCACACUGGAGCUGAGACACGGUCCAGACACCUACGGGUGGCAGCAGUCGAGAAUAAUUCACAAUGGGGGCAACCCUGAUGGUGCAACGCCGCGUGGAGGAUGACGGUCUUCGGAUUGUAAACUCCUGUCAUCUGGGAGAAAGACCUGACGGUAAAUAGCCGGCAGGGUUGAUAGUACCAGAAGAGGAAGGGACGGCUAACUUCGUGCCAGCAGCCGCAGUAA
rnacentral:rRNA from 1 species